GAGUCAAAUGAACCCCCUUACCCGAAUCUCUGGUGUAGACUUAGUUUUAGAGUCUUAAGUAUUUCGAAAGGAAAAUUACUAUUUUUGGAAAACGGCGACCUGACACACCGAAAUCAAAUGUCAGGUGGAGACUCUGAGUUAAUCCUUUUGAACACCAUUUUUGUCACUUUUAAUUGAAAAUCCUCUUCAACCUUUUAUUAAAUCCUUUUAUUUAUUUAAAUGGGUUUAGUGAGUUUUUUUAAAAAGGUUGUGACAUCUCUGGCGACUCUGCUAGGGAGUUGCAGGUUCGAGCUAGUACUUGAUCUUGUUGGCUUUUAGGAUUUUCGGUUGAGGUUUUGCGUGUUUUGUUUGCUUCAUUUGAUUUCUAUUUUUGUUCGUGUCGUUUAUUUUCUAGUUGGUUACUUGUUUACGUAUUUUUGCUUUAUGUGUUUACUGCUUAAUAAGUGUCAUCUUUUGCAUAACCCCGAAUCUUCUUUCUGCAACAAGUCUUCCGAAGUACAUUUGAGCAUACACGGCCUUUUUGUGAGUCACCGCGUGUCUUUAGG
rnacentral:lncRNA from 1 species